rnacentral:lncRNA from 1 species
CUCCUAAUGUUUUCUUCAAUGAGGUGGGAUUUCCCCUACAUAUUUCUGUGUUCUUUCUUCCCCUUUAUUCGGUUAUUACUUUGCUUCUCUCUAGGGGAGGAGCAGAUUCCUCUGGGUGGUAGACUUGGAUCAGCCCUGUAUCCUUCUGCCUGCUGGAAGCUGUCUGUUGCCAAGGAGCAACUUUUCCCUGGAGCACUUCCCUGUCUAGAUCUCCAAGUCCUGAGCCCAGAGUCUGAGACCUGCCACUUCUGCAGAAAGGAAACCACUUAUUGGUUCUCAUCAGAAGAAAAAAAAUUGUGGCGAAGGCAUAAAGACUCCAUUUCUGUCAACUUCGGAGCCUGUUCUCAUUCUUUGCUUGCUCUACCACUAAUGCCAAUUACUUGGGUCUCAUCAAACACACCAACGAAGACCUCUACACCACUCCGUGAAGGCUGCAUGGAAGGUUGGGGGCCUGAGAGCCCUCUGCAGUGUCCUCAAACCCCUCCUGUCUCUUCUGGUGAAGGUGAUCACCAGGAUGAUGCUCCACAUUGCCUGUGUGGGUCUGGCCUGAGCCCCAUCUGUAAAACAGGAUACAAAUGUCUGUCCCCCAGCAUUGAUUCCUUAAGGGUCACAGCUUCUCAAAGACACUUCAACUGA